rnacentral:ncRNA from 1 species
AGUGCUUGCUAGCCAGUUCGAUCAAAUUGAUUUUAAUACCACGAUGUUGUUUUUAUUGGUUUGACCUGCUUUCACUCAAUUCAGUCCAAACUAUUCAAUUUUUCACCAGCUGGCUGUAUGGUGAGGUGCUUCGGUCGACUGGUAAAUUUUUGAACUUGUGUUCGGCUCGGUGUAGUGGUUGUGCAGCCUUUCAGCCGUAUUUGUGUAAACAGGUGCUGACAGAGAAGGGCGAGUUUGUCUUACCCGCUAUCUGUUGCCAUGCUUCCGGAUGCCUUUAACCGGGUGUCGGGAGCGGACAGCAUCUUUACUUUGAACAAAUGUGGGUGCUCAAGGAAGGCCUUUGUGCCUAGAAAUUCUUGCAUGGAAUAAUGAAAUAGGACUUUGGUUCUAUUUUGUUUGUUUUCGGAUCCGAAGUAAUGAUUAAGAGGGACAGACGGGGGCAUUUGUAUGGCGGUGUUAGAGGUGAAAUUCUCGGAUUAUCGCCAGACAAACUACAGCGAAAAAAUUUGCCAAGAAUGCUUUCAUUGUUCAGGAGCAAAAGUCAGAUUUUCGAAGACGACCAGAUACCGUCGUAGUUCUGACCAUAAACGAUGCCAAAUGACGAUCCGCGAUGGUU